AGUAUCUAAUUCAAGUGGUUAAGAGUUUGGCUGCUAACCAAAAGGUUGGCAGUUCAAAUCCAUCAGCUGCUG
rnacentral:tRNA from 1 species